AGUUCCUUCUAGUAGAUAUGAAUGGGUGUGGUUCUGGUAUGGUUGCGAGAUGAAUCGGGGACUAUUCCUGUUAGGGCACCGCGGUUUAUAUCUUCUAUCUCGUUUCCUCUUAUUUCUGCUGCGAAAUUGGGCGUGGUGUUGUUGAUUCCUACAUUGCCACUGUGAAGUUCCCUUACAUUGCUUGCUGGUCGGGUUUUGGUGGGGAUAAUGGCACCAAGAAUGUGGUAGGGGUCGAGGAGGUGGAGUAACUGAGGAGGAGAGAUGAAAUGCAUAGCAUAUUGUCCGGAAAAUUCUAGAGCACGUUAUACCCUUCAGUCUUUCGAUUUGUCAUGUAUGAGUUGAAGAAGAAUGGUUGAUUGUUUCCUUGGCAUGAGUUCAUAAUUUUGUUUACUUGUAUUUGGAUAUAUUCGGAAUUGAGGUAAAUGCAGUUGCAAGUUUUCCUUCUUCAA